rnacentral:lncRNA from 1 species
CUUGUGUGUCAUGAUCCGUGGGAGCAGCUGAGGGGUUUUCAUUUGUUAUCAGGAUGGGUCCCUGGCUACUUGCCCGGGCGGAGUCUCUGCAUCACACCUGAGCUCCAUCUGCUGUCAAUUACAGGAGGACUACUUAAGCCAGCACUGCCUGCUACUUGUCUCCAGUUCAUUCUGCCACCCACAGUGGUAGCUAGGCCACAUCUGCACUCCACUCUUACCGCUCCCUUUCUUCGUGCUAAACUCUGUUUCCUUGUGUACAGAUCUCCACACUAUCCCAUCUUGGACGCAUCGCCUGUGGUUUCCUCUCUCUGGAUUCUCCCACAGAAACCCUCUCCAAAGCUUUUCAGUCUGGACCUGCACGUAAGCCAACAGCACCUCCAUAAUAUUCACCCUGCUCACCUGCUCCCUUACCUGCCAGUAAUCCCUCUGUUGCAGCACACCUGCGGUUCCAAUUGUGACCUCAACGGACAGCCUUCCCCAUGGCCAUCCCCCUUUCCACUGACUCCUGUUCACUCUUGUUUGCCUUUGUUUUGAUCUCCUUCAUUCUGUAAAUAAAGUCUUGUCAAUAGUUCUCAGUAAGUGAAUUGAGUCUGCUUUUGGGUCCAGCUCUUGUGAGAACCUCGGUUCAUGACAUUGUGGCCCUGUCCUGGUGUUUGGUAUGCUGUGCAACCUGGGUGCCCUGUCUUUGUUUUUUUUUGGUUUUUUUCCAACAUUCCCAGUUGAGAUUUUGGACGACUGCACGGGAACAUGUUUGUGGUGGGUAAAAAUCCUUCUCCAUCCAAAUGGAAAUGCGCACACGGACGGACUAGUCUGUCAAACUCAUGGAUGAGUCCAACAACAGCAACCUGAUGAGCCUCCUGAUGGGGAAAGAUGAGGCAGGGAGGCUCUGUGCUAACUGGUUAGCUUUCAGAAUAAGAGUGUUGGAAUUGGGCUGAUGGUAAACUGAUCCCAGGAAAAAAAUAAAAUCACAAAAUAUACUUAAUGUGCAUGUGUCAGUAAAUAUUAGGCUAAAGUGAUGCGGGGGUGUCUAGCUCAGGUACACAGAGCAGAGCAGAAACUGAUUUAAUUUACGUUCAUGACUUCUGGUCAUGUUCACUGAUGCAGUCAUGAAUUAUAUAAAUGUAUUAACCAUUUAGGUUGAUUGCACAGCAGACUGACAGAUGCAAAGUUCCCGACUUACUUAAAAGUGAUCCAUCAUGUUAUAUUUCACCUUUUUGUGUUUCUAUUUGGCUUUUCAGUGUGUAGCGCUUUACUCGCUGUAUAAUAGUCAAUCUGGCCUUCUGAGGAAAAAUGCUGCCCACCGCUGAACUGGAGCCACU